rnacentral:ncRNA from 2 species
GCGUGAUUUGCUCAACGCGGCAACACCUUCAUACGCGCCCGAACGUGCAGGGGAAGCCGGUCAAAGUCCGGCGCUGACCCGCAACCGUAGGCCGCGGCGCUGUCCGCGGCGAGCCGGAGUACCUGCCGGGCGCGGAGAGGCUCC